AAUGCCCCGAGCAUGGCUAUUGCUUCUCUGUCAGCUUCUUCCACUGGAAACUUCAGCACCCUUCUCUCCUCUACCUUGGAUAAAUAACUGCUGUCUCAAGACCUGCGGGAAUGCCAGAUGGAAAGUGUUCCCCUCCUUUCAGACUCGCUGUACACACAGGGCUCCUUUACAGCUUGCUGGCAUGUGCUCGUUGUUCAGAGAACUGACCGUGCACUGCCUCCUCGGCACGAGCAGAGGGAGGCCAGGCUCCAGGACACAAAAGAAGUAAAGGUGAAGGGAUUUGUGUGGCAGAUGAACACAUGUCUGUGCUGGCAGUGCAAAGGUGUUCAGUGAGCACAAGAGGAACAGGGCUGAUCCCAAGCUGCAGGAGGACAAUCUGCUCAGCCUCGUAACUAUGCUUCUUCUCUCCAGGCCUCUCCAAACAAUCAUCAGACACCCCUACCUCAGAGCAAGCCUUGGAAGCAAAUACCUCAGGGAGGAAAAUUUAACCUGAAACAAGUUUGAGGCCGCAAAGCAAAUUAGUGGCAUGGUUUGUGAUACCACCAGAAGGUGUAAUUUCUCUAGCCAUGCUUGGACACAGCUAGAUACCGCUCAUUUUUUGUGGACAGACAUACUUACAAGGGGAAAAAAUAAUAUUCUUACAUCCCAUCCAGCAUCAGCCUUUUCUCCUUGAUACAGCCACUUACAGUGGGAGGUCUUUCAGAAGGAAUGGGGAACUGGCAGUGAUGGAAAUGCCUACAGGAGAAAAGGCAGGGUGUGGAGACAUGUUGGUACACAGGGGGAGUAACAUGGAUGGCAGCAAGGUGCCCAGGAGGGCACCUGUGUGAUCAAGCCUCUCACUGGGACUCCAGCAGCCUUUGGUAGAACUUUGCUAGAACUGGGGAGAUGAAGUGCAGAGUGGUCCUGGUCUACAGCCCUUGUGGAAGAAGCAGAAAGAGGACUUGUCCAUCACUGAACUAUUUUCAGGCAGCACAGCUCUUAGGCCCCUGGAUAAAGUGACUGCACAAGGAGCCAGCCCACCUUCCCAUCCUCCUCAUGGACAACAGAGCUGGAACCCUUGCAAGGCAGUGGUGCAGUCUUUCCGAGUUUCUGGAUUCCCUGCAUCUGUGAGGAGCAGUUCUGCUGCCAACUUCAUCCCUCUUCCUUCACAGAAGAAAGACUUCUGAGCUUGCCGACAGUCGCCCAGUCAUGUGGGACAGUGGCAGGGAUGUAACUACAGAGAAGUGCAUAUGCUUGUCUCCUGGGAGCCACCACAGCUCUGCAGAAGUGCUCUCAAUAGCCACCAGUGGGUCUCUGGGAUCCCUGAAUUUCUGCAGUUUGCAAGAGUCGUCCCUGUCUUUGUGCAUGAAGCACAGGCCAGAGGUGCCUGCUGCCCCUUUGACAUCUUCUCAGCAGGACUGAUGGUGGCCAGGCUUUGAAAAAGAAGCAGCUGCAACAUGGGGCCUCCCCAGCAGGUCUCCCAUCCUGCUUCCUCUCCGUCUCCGUGCACGCAUCCGGAGGAGCCAGUCUGCUCGCAAUGCCAUGGCUGCAGCUUCAGACAGCCAGAAGUCAUCUGCAAUUUGCCUCCUGUGACACUGAGUCACAGGAGAGAGGAAGGUCUUGAUUCACUGUCUCAUGGGAGAUGUUCUGGCUCCAGGCUUCCCUUACCGUUUCCUCGCUUAGAUACCCGUUCAGCAAAGCGUUUGAAUAGAGUCCAUUGAGCUGCUGCCUACAGCUUGUUGCCCCCCUUCCUCCCCCCAACAUGACAGAAAAUGUCCUUGUGGCACUGAUGGUUGUUUCCUGAAGAAGUGUCAACUGUAUGAAGUGGAGUUGGUUGCUUUGAUAUUCCCUAUUCACGGCGAAUACUAAAAAUACUUGUUAAAGAUCAUGACUCUGGCGGCAGAAUUUUUUUUGGUCUUUGUCAGUUUUUGUAAACUGUCACUUCAGUAGUGGGGAAAUACGCAUGUAUGAUGGAGGGAGGGUUCUUACUUCCCAACUGCCAAAACAAUGCAGCAUCUUAGGGAGAGAGGAAAACUUCCCAUUCCUUCCAUCAGUAACUGAACUUGAGAAAAAGUGUCUAUCUUUUCUUUUUUGGG